UUAUUUAGUGACUGAAAAGCAAGUAAUGGUCUCUUAAAUCAACUAAUGGUAAUUGCAUCUACCCUAAAUG
rnacentral:tRNA from 1 species